AUUCAAUUAGGGUCUAAAGAGUAAAGAUCUAAAACUAAAACUCUAAAGUCUAAACUCUAAAGAGAAAGAUUAGGGCAGCAGUCAGCACCAGCAUUAGCGACUAGCGAGCGGCAGACGGGCAGACGGGCGACGGCAGUCACAACUCAUCACUCACUCCUCACAACUCCUCACUCACUCCUCCAUAAUUUACUUGAAAGUGCAAUCAUGCCCCGUGCUUCUAAAGUACGCUCUGAUAUUUGGGGACACUUUGAGGUGAAAGAAGAUAACGGAGAAGUUCGCAAAGUAGAGUGCAAGCAUUAUGGUCAAGUCUAUAAUGUUCAUCCAAAGAGGAAUGGAACAUUUGGUUUAAGGAAGCAUAUUAGGCGUUGUCUUGAGCGUCUUCCUGGAAUCCGUAUUUAAGAAUUAGAGUCUGCUGCUACUGUUAAUUCUGUUAUUUUUGUUGCACUGCUGGUACUGUUAGAACACUAAUUCUACAUUUGCUACUGUUAAUUCUGCUGCUACUGUUAUUGCACUGUGUUUAAUUCGGUUGGCCAUUUUCAGAGAAAAAAUUUGCAGCCUGUUAAUGUUGCUACAGUGCUACAUUCUUCUGCUA